rnacentral:rRNA from 1 species
UACGUAGGUGGCAAGCGUUGUCCGGAUUUACUGGGCGUAAAGAGCGCGCAGGCGGUCGGAUAAGUCGAGUGUGAAAGCCCCUGGCUCAACCAGGGAGGGUCAUUCGAUACUGUUCGACUCGAAGGCAGGAGAGGGAAGUGGAAUUCCGGGUGUAGAGGUGAAAUUCGUAGAUAUUCGGAAGAACACCAGUGGCGAAGGCGGCUCACUGGACCGGUAUUGACGCUGAGGUGCGAAAGCGUGGGGAGCAAACAGG